AUUGCCGUCACUAAAACAGUUAAC
rnacentral:snRNA from 1 species